AGAUGUUUGUGGUUCUAUGGACAUAUGUCUAGGUGUCCUUUGGGUAAAUGGUUUUGCGAAUAACUGGUUUAAGUUAGCAUUUUUAUGUUGUUUAUCACUAACUUGUUUGCUUGUACCUGCAGCUAUAUUUAAACAAAUGUUAUGGGUUUUAAGGAGUUUCCCAUCGUCUCCUUUUAGCUCUGGGUUUUCUCCGUCUUCC
rnacentral:lncRNA from 1 species